CACACUCGUGGAUUUAACCGGUCUCAAUGCGGCUGCGCGAUUCACUGCCGACUGAAAUUGAAAAUUUUCCAGAUGAUUUAUGACAAUUCGCAAUAAAUUUAUAAAUUUUUUCGGAUCAGUUUAACCAGAGCUUUUGCAAUUUCUCAUGCACCUAUCGAAACGAUUAUCGGCCAUUUAUUGCUGCGAGUAAUUCAAUUUGUUUGGCAUGUGUUGCCGGAUCAGCCAGGAGAAACGGACGGAUUUUCAACCUGGCGGACAACGACUGAGCUCACAGGCAGAGGAACACUAUGAGUUUCGAUGCACAAUGAAGUGAGCAAUAUAUAUUACCUCCACAAAAAUGGGCCGUCUCCUUUGGGUUUCAUUUUAUUGACGUCUUGGAUUACUGCUUCGAAGUUCUGUUCGAGCUCUUUCGAGUCCAUUGCAAGCUGAGAAAUUAUCAUAGAUUAAUUAUUCAUAUACCUGUACGAGGAUUAGGAAAUUUCCUCUUCAUCAACCCCCUAAUGACAGAGAGCUCCGUAAGGAUGUCAGGAUGAGCCACGAAACUAUGAAAAUCACCUACUGGUAUUUCUCCUGUCUGAAAGGGAAAUGAAAUUAUCAAAUGGAAUCAAUACCUCCACUGAGAGUGGCUCCAGCUUUGUCAGCCAUGUCCGCCAAUUCUGGAGCCUUGCAAAAAGCGACGACUGUCCUGUACUCUCCAUGAUCGAAAGGACAAGGGAUGUUGACUGUACGUGAGAAAGGCUCA